CCGAGUUUACAACUCCCAAACCCAAUGUGAACGUUACCAAACUGUUGCCUCGGCGGGAUCUCUGCCCCGGGUGCGUCGCAGCCCCGGACCAAGGCGCCCGCCGGAGGACCAACCAAAACUCUUAUUGUAUACCCCCUCGCGGGUUUUUUUUAUAAUCUGAGCCUUCUCGGCGCCUCUCGUAGGCGUUUCGAAAAUGAAUCAAAACUUUCAACAACGGAUCUCUUGGUUCUGGCAUCGAUGAAGAACGCAGCGAAAUGCGAUAAGUAAUGUGAAUUGCAGAAUUCAGUGAAUCAUCGAAUCUUUGAACGCACAUUGCGCCCGCCAGUAUUCUGGCGGGCAUGCCUGUCCGAGCGUCAUUUCAACCCUCGAACCCCUCCGGGGGGUCGGCGUUGGGGAUCGGCCCUGCCUUGGCGGUGGCCGUCUCCGAAAUACAGUGGCGGUCUCGCCGCAGCCUCUCCUGCGCAGUAGUUUGCACACUCGCAUCGGGAGCGCGGCGCGUCCACAGCCGUUAAACACCCAACUUCUGAAAUGUUGACCUCGGAUCAGGUAGGAAUACCCGCUGAACUUAAGCAUAUCAAUAAGCGGAGGAA
rnacentral:rRNA from 1 species